UGCCCCUGACUCUGGGAUAAGCGGUGGAAACGCCGUCUAAUACCGGAUACGACCCGCCACCUCAUGGUGGAGGGUGGAAAGUUUUUCGGUCAGGGAUGGGCUCGCGGCCUAUCAGCUUGUUGGUGGGGUAACGGCCUACCAAGGCGAUUACGGGUAGCCGGCCUGAGAGGGCGACCGGCCACACUGGGACUGAGACACGGCCCAGACUCCUGCGGGAGGCAGCAGUGGGGAAUAUUGCGCAAUGGGCGAAAGCCUGACGCA
rnacentral:rRNA from 1 species